CGUUUUCAAGAAAAAAACCCACUGGAGUCAUCAAUAAUGAAGAAGUAUGGAACUUCAGCGACUCAGAGGUGUACCUUGGGAGCCCCUCACCUUUGCCAAGAUAUUCGGGUCUGAAGUUUCUCUGCGCUCCAGGAUCACCUGGCUUUGGGAUUGAGAUCACACUGCAUAGCCCCGGCUAGAUUCCAUCCUUAAACUCGAGAAACAGAGUUUCAGUGGGACUACUUAAAUGAAUAAAAGUUAAUGCCGGUGAGCACCUACUCUACCACCGCGUGUACUCUAGCUCUUGCUGAAGUGUUCAGGCAGCAGCUGAACUGGUCCGUAGCUGAUGAGGACUGUGGUGGCUCUGAGUUUCAUGCAGGUGGAUGACCCCUUGUCUCCUGACCUCCUUUGGUGGAGCACAGCCAAAGUGAUGCCCAUAGAAGAGGUGAGGUUAGGAAGGUGGGUAGACCCAACAGUGGAUGGAAGAACAAGGACACAACUGGGGCAAGGCUUUGCAAAGAGUUGGGGGCAGAACAUGGAAGGGGAAAAUAUCUGCAAAGGUGCAUAUGAACUCAUUGAACGGUUUACAUAAGCCAUUGCUCAUGGAGCUGCACAGUGUUUGGCAGAGGCAUUUACCAUUGAUAUCAGGUGAUUCAUGAGCAAUGCAUGACUUUCUGGGA